AGAGUUUGAUCAUGGCUCAGAUUGAACGCUGGCGGCAGGCCUAACACAUGCAAGUCGAACGGUAACAGGAAACAGCUUGCUGUUUCGCUGACGAGUGGCGGACGGGUGAGUAAUGUCUGGGAAACUGCCUGAUGGAGGGGGAUAACUACUGGAAACGGUAGCUAAUACCGCAUAACGUCGCAAGACCAAAGAGGGGGACCCUCGGGCCUCUUGCCAUCGGAUGUGCCCAGAUGGGAUUAGCUUGUUGGUGGGGUAACGGCUCACCAAGGCGACGAUCCCUAGCUGGUCUGGGAGGAUGACCAGCCACACUGGAACUGAGACACGGUCCAGACUCCUACGGGAGGCAGCAGUGGGGAAUAUUGCACAAUGGGCGCAAGCCUGAUGCAGCCAUGCCGCGUGUAUGAAGAAGGCCUUCGGGUUGUAAAGUACUUUCAGCGGGGAGGAAGGGAGUAAAGUUAAUACCUUUGCUCAUUGACGUUACCCGCAGAAGAAGCACCGGCUAACUCCGUGCCAGCAGCCGCGGUAAUACGGAGGGUGCAAGCGUUAAUCGGAAUUACUGGGCGUAAAGCGCACGCAGGCGGUUUGUUAAGUCAGAUGUGAAAUCCCCGGGCUCAACCUGGGAACUGCAUCUGAUACAGGCAAGCUUGAGUCUCGUAGAGGGGGGUAGAAUUCCAGGUGUAGCGGUGAAAUGCGUAGAGAUCUGGAGGAAUACCGGUGGCGAAGGCGGCCCCCUGGACGAAGACUGACGCUCAGGUGCGAAAGCGUGGGGAGCAAACAGGAUUAGAUACCCUGGUAGUCCACGCCGUAAACGAUGUCGACUUGGAGGUUGUGCCCUUGAGGCGUGGCUUCCGGAGCUAACGCGUUAGUCGACCGCCUGGGGAGUACGGCCGCAAGGUUAAAACUCAAAUGAAUUGACGGGGGCCCGCACAAGCGGUGGAGCAUGUGGUUUAAUUCGAUGCAACGCGAAGAACCUUACCUGGUCUUGACAUCCACGGAAGUUUUCAGAGAUGAGAAUGUGCCUUCGGGAACCGCGAGACAGGUGCUGCAUGGCUGUCGUCAGCUCGUGUUGUGAAAUGUUGGGUUAAGUCCCGCAACGAGCGCAACCCUUAUCCUUUGUUGCCAGCGGUCCGGCCGGGAACUCAAAGGAGACUGCCAGUGAUAAACUGGAGGAAGGUGGGGAUGACGUCAAGUCAUCAUGGCCCUUACGACCAGGGCUACACACGUGCUACAAUGGCGCAUACAAAGAGAAGCGACCUCGCGAGAGCAAGCGGACCUCAUAAAGUGCGUCGUAGUCCGGAUUGGAGUCUGCAACUCGACUCCAUGAAGUCGGAAUCGCUAGUAAUCGUGGAUCAGAAUGCCACGGUGAAUACGCUCCCGGGCCUUGUACACACCGCCCGUCACACCAUGGGAGUGGGUUGCAAAAGAAGUAGGUAGCUUAACCUUCGGGAGGGCGCUUACCACUUUGUGAUUCAUGACUGGGGUGAAGUCGAAACAAGGUA
rnacentral:rRNA from 1 species